CUUUUCUCCUCCAUUAGUCGUGGUGGGACUGUCAGAGCUACUUGGACGAACAAAAGUCUGCUUGUUUUGACAUAUGGUUUUUCGGUUUUGUUUUUGUUGAUAAUGAGAACCACGUUUCUUGUCUGGAAGUGCCGAAGCAGGAGUCUGCUGUUGCAUACCGCCUCAGAAAACCGAGAGGAAAUUACCUGCGUCAUUUAUGCUUCUUUUUUGUUUCGACACGAGCUUCGCUAACGCACACCCGGUGGCUUGAAAAACUCUCGUAAAAUCUGACUGAUGGACAAACCGAUUGAUUGGGUAGCUGAUUUUUUUAUUUUUUUUUUUAUUUUUAUUUUUUUUUUUAAUGCAGCCUCCCGAACAAAGCACAAAAUAAAAAUAACGACCAACACCAAAGCCGUAACAGGUUCCUUCCACCAGGUGCGUAAAUCACACACACAAUGAUGCUCCUGUGUGUGGUAAAGUUAGCUCCGUUUUGGUAUGGCUCAUGUUUUCCUGGCACUCUCUUUUUUCCUUCCCGUCCCAAGAUGGAAGAAAAGCUGAUUCUGCUAUGGUGGACAGUGGAAAUUUAGUAACUUGACAUACGCUGACCUAAGCUUUGUUUUUUAGUUCGUCAGAAGCUUAUUAAAUACUUAUUAUUCAUAGUGAAGACAAUUUCUAUUAUCAUAUUAAUGUAAUUUCAUUUAUUAUGUACCAAUAACAGACCAAUUAAGAACCUUGCACCUGAGACCUUGAUUGUGUGCAUACUAAGGAAAUACUUUGGAAAUGAUGCUUAUUUGUUUAUUCUCUAGUGUUACAAGGCUAAGGAAAGGCAUAGAAGGGCUUGUGUGAACUAACCAUUUACAGCCUGCUCAGUACAAAUAAUUAAUUACUAUUAUAAAUUAUUUGAAUUGAGGGCUUUAUUAACUGAUGAGUUUAUUCAUGUUUUUAAAAGAGUGAAAACAGUCAAGCGAGCAGUACAAAAAUGCCAAGUCAUGCUCUAACCUCAGGAAUGUAAUGCCUCUAUAAGUAAGACACAGGUUGUUCAUAUUUUUCAUUUACUUCUGAAAGCAUUUGUUACUUCUCUUCCCCUGUUUCCUGCUAAUGAUAAACAAGAGAACAUAGUGACUUUUAACCAUGAGAACUGUUAACUUUGUUUGUUAGAGUGUGGACAGAGAGCAAAGAGAGUGGGAAAGAGAAAGUAAGAGAAACAGAAAGCUUAACAAAGUUCCAAGAAUAAAAAUAAGUAGUCUGAUAAUCGUGUGUUGCUGAGUCUAAGCAUGACGGGCUCUCACAAAGCUUUCUUCUCUGCGCCAUGGCUUUGCUCACCCAUCUCUGGGUGUCUAGAAAUGCUCACUUUUCAAUAAAUAGACUCUGCCUGCUA